rnacentral:lncRNA from 1 species
CUUUCCUCCUUUCCGCCGACGUUAGCCGAAGGUAGGGAGUUGUCUUCGCCGUUCGGCCUCUUGCCGGCUUGUUUUCGGCGAUCUGGCGCCGGAAUCGGACUCCCCACCCCCGAAAACCCUUGAAGCAACCCUCCUCCGUCGGAAAUCCUUGCCGGCAGCCUUGAAAGGUGUCGCGUGAGCAGCGACUUUCCGGCCCCGAUCCGCCGCCUUCCGGCCACUUUCCGGCCAAAACUCUUGUCCUUCCGGACUCUCCGCAACUUGAGCUUCGCGUAGGCGCUUCCGGAUUUGAAUUCCGACACUGUUGGCGGGACCGGCUUCCGGACCCCAGUGUUUUCUGGACGCGUGAAAUAUUUUAAUUUUCAACUCGGUAUAAUUUUAUUAGACUCUGAAAAAUUUUGUUAUAAUAUUAGAAAGUUAUUGAGGCUAUUAAUUGCUUGUGUUGGGUAGUUUAAAAAUAAAUCAAAUUGAAUUGUUUGGAUUGUGGUGUUUUGGAGUCGGGAAAAUAUUAAUGCAGUUCUUGUGGCCCGGCUCCUGUUAUUAAAUUCCAGCAUGUCUGAUAUAUUUUUGGCAGGUCCUGGACCCGUUUUACGGGGGGUAAAUAUCCGUAAUUUAGGGGAGGUUCUGUCAAAUUUUCGGCAGAAUCCUCGAGUCCAAUUUAAUUCUAGGCAGUCGACCUUAGGGUCUAAGUUUAGGAAAAAUUUUCGAAUGUCUAUUAAUUGUAUGUCUUUUGUUAUUAGAUAAUUCAGCCUUCCCGCCAGCUCCACCCGAGGCGUAGGAGCGGACUGUGGAACGCAUCAAAUCUGUGAGUUAAAGUCAUUUAAUCUUUGCGCUAUUGCUAGUCUGAUUUUAAUAUGCUAUUUAGAAUUUGUGCUUAAUAUGAUUAUUAGUAUCGCAAGGUAAAUGAUUUCACUUGAUUAUUAAUAUUUGAAAUAAUAUAAAUAUUAUUAUUAGUAUGUUAUAAUAAGAUAAGCGUUAUUAUUUUUCCCCUCGCAAAUUGCACGUUGUUUUACCUUAAAUCUUUAAUCUUUAUUUCGAUAUGUGUUGGUUGAGUUCAUCAGAUAAUGAUAUUUAUUAUAUGUGAUGAUUGCGAAUUGGGAAAUGUGGCUUGUAGAACAUGCCGCCUGAUGGGUUACAUCAGGACCGCGUGCGCACCGGUAAUGAUCAUGGACAUGUAAUAAGAUAUUUAUGGGUUUGCCCUGGUCGAGCAUUGCUCUCGGGGCGCCGGCUUAUUUGGAUAUUUAAGUGACCAGACUGGAGGUAAGGUCCCUGGUCGAGCAUUGCUCUCGGGGCGCCAGUCUUAUUGGAUUAAGAGAGCCGAAUGGCUACUAGAUUUCUUAUUUGGAUAUUUAAGUGACCAGACUGGAGGUAAGGUCCCUGGUCGAGCAUUGCUCUCGGGGCGCCAGUCUUAUUGGAUUAAGAGAGCCAAAGUGGCUGUUAGAAUUUGGGGUUAGGGUUCUACUUAGCCACACGUCCCGUGAAAGUAAAAAUGUCUUUAUUUAUUUA